rnacentral:lncRNA from 1 species
GUGAGUCAGGCGUCGGGGAAUAAUUUAUGUGCAUACAACGUUUGCGAGAACAUCGCAUGAUGACGUCCGAAAGGUCCAAAAGUGAGAGACAAUUUUAGGUACGUUUGCCAGAACACUAUUUGCAAUUAUUUUUAUCAUGAUCUAAUAUAUGUACAAACAACUAAUAUAUUCAUAUUGAUCUUCUUUUUUAAUAAAGAUGAAUCAAAAGCGGGACCAACUCCUACCAACGGAUCGCGUACGAGCAAUUCAAGAGGAAAUAACAGGAUUUUUGCUCGACUAGGUUAUAGAUCCCAAAGGAGAAUACCAUUACAAGCUGUAAUUAAUGCCUCCAUGUAAUGAUCUUCAAAUUGUAGGA